UACGAAGGGGGCUAGCGUUGCUCGGAAUCACUGGGCGUAAAGGGCGCGUAGGUGGCGAUCCAAGUCCAUGGUGAAAAGCUCGAUGCUCAACAUCGAGUCGGCCACGGAUACUGGGGUUGCUUGAGCACUGUAGGGGCAGAGUGGAAUUCCGGGUGUAGCGGUGGAAUGCGCAGAUAUCGGGAGGAACACCAGUAGCGAAGGCGGCACUCUGGGCCGGUACUGACGCUGAGGAGCGAAAAGCGUGGGGAGCGAACAGG
rnacentral:rRNA from 1 species